rnacentral:rRNA from 1 species
UACGAAGGGGGCUAGCGUUGUUCGGAAUCACUGGGCGUAAAGCGCACGUAGGCGGGCCGUUAAGUCGGGGGUGAAAGCCUGGAGCUCAACUCCAGAACUGCCUUCGAUACUGGCGGCCUUGAGUCCGGGAGAGGUGAGUGGAACUCCUAGUGUAGAGGUGAAAUUCGUAGAUAUUAGGAAGAACACCAGUGGCGAAGGCGGCUCACUGGCCCGGUACUGACGCUGAGGUGCGAAAGCGUGGGGAGCAAACAGG